AAAACCCAACUUUAUUGAACAAAAGAAGAAAGCACAAAAAGCAGUAGCUACGUCAGCAGCACAGAGAUGACGUCAAAUACAGAAGCUGAACACACACGGAGGAAUAAAGUGAAGACAGCAGGACAGCAAACAUAGAAACUACAGAGGAAGAACAAUAAGGUUCUAACUCUUUAUGAGUGUUGGUCUGGAUCUCAUCAUCACAGUCAAAUGUCUGUGAAUAUGAAACUGGGCCAAAAAAAGGUUUCUAUAGUUGUCCUGUGGUUAGUACGGCAUUAGUAAUGAAGCCUCUCACUGACAGAUCCUUGAUGACUGAAACAGAAGUUUAAUGAGUGUCCGAAAGUCUCCUUAUAUUUCAAUCGCAUUGCUAUAAUUGUUAUUCAGAACCACACGUCUGUCCACCCCUCCCACAUUCGUUAAGUAUGCCUACUGCUGUACUGUUGAGCUGCUGUUAACUUCCAUUAAAGUAUAUCCGGACAUCACUCUCUGUGCCCCACUCUCUGACCGGAGUUUAAGUCCUGAGGGAGCUAUCAUCCCAGCAUCCCAGAGAUAACUCUCUAACAAUGAGCCUCGUCUUUGGUUCGUCUUCAGUUAGAACGAUACCUCAUAAAAUCAUAAAAUCAAUGUGAAAUUUCACAGGAAGCCAGUGUAAGUUAGCUAAAACUGGAGUAAUAUGAUCAUGCAUUCUGGCACCCGAUAAAAGGCAUGCAGCAGCGUUCUGUACUAAUUGCAACCGGUAGAGAGAGGAGUGAGGGAGGCCUAAAUAAAGGGAGUUACAAUAGUCCAAUCUAGAGAUAAUGAAUGCAUGAAUAAGCUUUUCAAGGUCUCUUACAAUGUGGGAGAGGUAACUAGCAAGUGGGCCAAGGGUAACAGUUAGUUGGUUCAAAGGGAUAUGGCUGUCAAAGACAAUAACUUCAGUUUUACUGUCAUUCAAGGUAAGAGAGUUUUGAGAUGGCCAGUGUGGUGGGGCGUGGUCUGCAGGUGCCAUGCAGGGAGGGCGGACGCACCUGCACGGCAUCCUUAAUCUCUCCCGCUGAGUUAAAAACACGGGGACUCAGGGGUUGGUGUGUGUUGUGGUGUGAUGUGAUUUGAAUAAAAUCGCU
ensembl:lncRNA